CCUACGGGAGGCAGCAGUGAGGAAUAUUGGUCAAUGGACGCAAGUCUGAACCAGCCAUGCCGCGUGCAGGAAGACGGCUCUAUGAGUUGUAAACUGCUUUUGUACGAGGGUAAACGCAGAUACGCGUAUCUGUCUGAAAGUAUCGUACGAAUAAGGAUCGGCUAACUCCGUGCCAGCAGCCGCGGUAAUACGGAGGAUUCAAGCGUUAUCCGGAUUUAUUGGGUUUAAAGGGUGCGUAGGCGGUCGGAUAAGUUAGAUGUGAAAUCCCGGGGCUCAACUUCGGAAGUGCCUCCGAUACUGUUCGGCGAGAGAGUAGUUGCGGUAGGCGGAAUGUAUGGUGUAGCGGUGAAAUGCUUAGAGAUCGUACAGAACACCGAUUGCGAAGGCAGCUUACCAAGCUACUUCUGACGUUGAGGCACGAAAGCGUGGGGAGCAAACAGGAUUAGAUACCCCAGUAGUC
rnacentral:rRNA from 1 species